rnacentral:rRNA from 1 species
CCUACGGGAGGCAGCAGUGGGGAAUAUUGGACAAUGGGCGAAAGCCUGAUCCAGCAAUGCCGCGUGAGUGAUGAAGGCCUUAGGGUCGUAAAGCUCUUUUACCCGGGAUGAUAAUGACAGUACCGGGAGAAUAAGCCCCGGCUAACUCCGUGCCAGCAGCCGCGGUAAUACGGAGGGGGCUAGCGUUGUUCGGAAUUACUGGGCGUAAAGCGUGCGUAGGCGGUUAUUCAAGUCAGAGGUGAAAGCCCGGGGCUCAACCCCGGAACGGCCUUUGAAACUAGGUAGCUAGAAUCUUGGAGAGGUCAGUGGAAUUCCGAGUGUAAAGGUGAAAUUCGUAGAUAUUCGGAAGAACACCAGUGGCGAAGGCGACUGACUGGACAAGUAUUGACGCUGAGGCACGAAAGCGUGGGGAGCAAACAGGAUUAGAUACCCUGGUAGUCCACGCCGUAAACGAUGAUAACUAGCUGUUCGGGUACUUGGUAUCUGAGUGGCGCAGCUAACGCAUUAAGUUAUCCGCCUGGGGAGUACGGUCGCAAGNUUAAAACUCAAAGGAAUUGACGGCUGAGACGNGCGAGACGACACGAGGAGAG